ACCGCCUUCCCAGGAAGCCAAACAGGUCCCAGUCCUCCAGUCCUUCCCAUGCCUGGUGGCCAGCACCAGUGCUCCCAGUGUGACCUGGACUUUGCUCUGCACACAGGUUAGCCUUGCAGACCAUGCAGGCUCUGCUGACAAGCAGCACUAAGCCGUGGGACGGCUGGCCAGGGAUGGCCGGGCGGUACCAGAGGGGGACGAAGGACGAGCUGCAGGUGCUCAGAGAGGCCCUGAGCAAGACAACAGCCUUUCCCAUGUAAGCACAGUAGCUCAACUUGCAUUCAACCAAAGAGCUGCAGAACUACGUUCUCCUGAUGGCCCAGACAAAGCUGUGUCCCUUUAAGACCUCCAGGUGCCACGGAAGAGGAGACCACCUGGAGACCAGAGACCAGCUGGAGCUCCAGGCAGAGCUGAUGAUUGUCACAGCUCUUGUGGCUUCAGCCCCCUCCCUGCCUGCUCUCUCCCUCCAGCCUUCAGACCCUGACCAUCCCCUUUUUUCCUCCCCAGCUCAUCCCUUUGCUUUGCAUCACAUCAAUAAACAGUUUGGCUUCUUCACUUUGCCUGCAUCUCUGUGGAGCUAAAGCAGCACAAAUCCAGAGCCCUGGGAUUCACAGGCCCCUCCUGCCGUUCUCUUCCACGCCGUGUUUUGAGCAGAGAUGCAGAGGAACGAGGGCAGAUCAGGCUGGAGAGGUGUCUGUGCUGAAGCUCCGGUUCCACAACACUGUGGAGUCCAAGGUCUUGCUGAGCACCCUGAAGCCCCUGGAUUUUAGAAGAGCCAAGCUGUGUAUGCUCUGAACCCAGCUGGGAGGGAUUCCAUGGCAAGUACUCAUGGAGGGCAAAGGAGCUUGGAAUGCUGGAAGGGUUCAAGAAUAGCUUCCUGAAAGCACAGCAAUGCUCCAUCCCUGCACAGGGUCAGGAAGAGGGCAGAACCAGAGAGCACCAGGGCUUCACAGAGAGCUUUGGGUGUUCCAGAGAGCAAAUGAAGCAGCAGCACAGUGCCCGAGACUUGGGCGCGUGACCGUGCCAGUGUCCGGAGCGCUGCCAGGCAGUGCCGGGAUCCUGGGUGCGGAUCUGGUCCCCACAAGUGAGGAAUGGCAGCCCCUGCCUCAGAGCCAGUCAGAAAGCCAAGCAAGUGGGACCAGAGGGAGGGCACCCUUCCAGUGUCUGGGGCAUGGCUGCAAAACAGCCCCUGCUUCUUCUUCCUCCGCCUGUGCUUGGCGUGUGCUGGUGGCAGAGCCAGCCAGGUUGUGCUCUGUGUGCCAAAGCCUGUUCAUAGCGAGCAUGAAAAGUGCUGCGUGCCCAGCGCAGAGUCCUGGAAGGUGCUGGCAAGAGCAUCCUGCAGGAGCAGGGCCUGGUCUCUGGCUGGGAACAGCCUGGUUUUGCUGCCGUGACCGCAGGCAGGAGUGUAGGCAGGUGAAGAGGCAGCGGGCAGCUUGUGUUUGCAGAGGGCCUGGAGCUGCACAUCUGAACCUGCACCUGGAAACACACUUGGGGGAGCACUAGCUGGAGCUGGAGUGCCUGUUCUGGAAGCAGUUUGUGCAGGCAGGGCGUGCAGGCAGGGUUGCAGGUUUCCUGCUGCUAUUGGGGUUUCUAGUUUGUUUGUUGUGUUUCUGUUGGUUGGUGAGUGUGGGCAUUUUUCUCCAAAGUUAUCACAUUCCACGGGGACUCUUUCUUAUUCCGAAUGAGGCAGAAAAAUGGGACUUCUAGUUUCUUAGAAAGUGCCAUUUAUUUUCUUAUCUUCUACAGAAAACAUGAGUUCUUGUAACAGCUGUUGGAAGCGUGACCAGAAGUCACUCGACUUACGGCUACAAGAUGUUUUAAGGACUUAUUAACCAAUAAAACACUGCC